rnacentral:lncRNA from 10 species
GCCGCCUGCUCGAGGCUUGGACACGCCCGGGUCUUCUCUUGCCCCGCGCUGCGCCACCCGACCUGGGCCCUGGGAUGGGGCAGGGGCGGGGGGUGCUCGGCCCUGCCACACUGUGUGACCUUGGGAAGAUGCUUUUGCUGCUGCCAUUUCACAGACGGGAAAGCGACAACGGCCCGCCUGGACUUGAACACAGGCCCAAGGCCUUCUGACCACUUGCCCGCCUCUGCUGGUCUUGCUGUCUGUCCCCACGGCCUUCACUACUGUGUCCCUGGUGCCUAGAACAGAGCCUGGUACAUAGAAGGUGCUCGAUGAAUGGUGAGUGAAUAAAUGGAGGAGGCUGAGAAGAAGGAGAGGUUCCUCGUUAGCUGGGCUGUGUGACCUUAGGCAAAAUGGCUCCCCUCUCUGAACCAAAGCACUCGCCCACGUUCCCUUUCUGGAUUCUGAAGAGAUGCAGGGAGAUAUGGGGGAACUGAAGCUAAUUGGAGGAUUUGCUGUGUGUUCUUAGGCCAAACUUCCACCUUCUCUGAACCACAUUCCAAGCUCUUUGCAUGUAUUAACUCAUUUAAUCCUACUGAUAAUUUGUAGGAGGCAGGUCUUUUUUCUUCUUCUUUUUUCAUAUUUUUCAAUGUUUUGUAGAGAUGGAUAUGUCUCACUCUGUUGCUCAGGCUUUUCUCGAACGCCUGGCCUCAAGUGGCCCUCUUGCCUCAGCCUCCCAAAGUGCUGAGAUUACAGGUGUGAGCCGCUGCGCCAGGCCACAGUCUUAUCAUUAUCUCCACUUUAUAGAUGAGGAAACUGAGGCCCAGAAGAGCUAAGUGUGUCUGCUCCAGGUCACAUGAAAGGAUGAGAAGGAAUAAAAUCUUUCCAGUCUGACUUUCCCUCUUGGGUUUGUCAUAACAGGCCUGGCAAUGUGAGUCCCAUCUUCUGGAUAGAAGAACUGAGUAUAUACUGCCCCCAGGUGGCAGGUUCUGGGACUGCAGGAGCCAUUCACAUGCGUGAAGAUCCGCUGGGCGCCCUUGCUCUGGGAUCAGGAAAGGCCGGUGCCAUGGAUGUGAUAGAUGCACACAGGGCAUCAGCAGGCCGCCGAGAGGAACCAGAGUGUCCAACGAACAGAAAACAGUGCUCAACCUUCACAUUUAUCGAAUGUUCCUUGGCACAUGCUGUAAUUCUGGCCCUAAAGACACAUUCAUGGACAAGACAAGCAAUUCCUGUUCUCGUGGAGCUGAAAUUCUCCUGGGGGAAGACAAGCACUAAACAAGAUCAAUGAUUAAAGUAUAGAUUGUAUUAGAUUCUGGUCAGCACUAUGGAGGAAAAUACAGCAGGGGAGCAGAGCAGGAGUUCUGGGAGAUUUGAUUUUUUGUUUUCUGGGGUUUUUUGUUUGUUUGUUUUUUGAGACAGGGUCUCACUGCUGGAGUGCAGUGGCACGAUCUCUGCUCACUGCAGCCUCUGCUUCUUGGGCUCAGGUGAUCCUCCCACCUCAACCUCCCAAGUAGCUGGGACCACAGGGGCAUGCCACCACACCCAGCUGAUUUUUUAAUGUUUUGUAGAGAUCAGGUCUCAUUAUAUUGCCCAAGCUGGGGGAGUUGAUUUUAACUUUAUGUUAGAGUAGUCAGGGAAGACCUCACUGAGGUGACAUUUAAGCAAAAACCUGAAUGUGGUGAAGCAGGUAUCUGGGGGACCUUGGACCACACAAAGGGAACAGCAAGUGCAAAGGCCCUGAGGUAGGAGCACGUAGUUGUGGUGAUGACGGAGAGUAGCAGGAAUUUGUGUCAUAGAAAUAGUGGGGGCUGGCCAGGCACAGCGGCUCAUGCCUGCAAUCCUAGCACUUUGGGAGGCCGAGGUGGGUGGAUUACUUGAGGUCAGGAGUCUGAGACCAGCCUGGCCAACAUGGUGAAACCCCAUCUCUACUAAAAAUUAAAAAAAAAAAAAUGGCCAGGCAUGGUGGCGUGCAUCUGUAAUCCCAGCUAUUCAGGAGGCUGAGACAUGAGAAUCACUUGAACCCGGGAGGCGGAGGUUGCAGUGAGCCGAAAUUGUGCCUCUGCACUCCAACCUGGGUGACAAAGCAAGACUCUGCCUCCAAAAAAAAAAAAAUGGAACAUGGAAACAUGGAAUGGGAGAAAAUAUUUGCAAAUCAUAUAUCUGAUAAGGGGUUCAUAUCCAGAAUACAUAAAGAACUGUUACAACUCAACAGCAAUAAAAACAACUCAAUUAAAAAUGGGCAAAGGACUUGAAUAAACAUUUCUCCAGAGAAAACUGUGAAUGGCUAAUAAUCACAUGAUAAGAUACUCAACAUCACUAACCAUUAAGGAAAUACAAACCAAAACUGCAAUGAGGCGCAACACUUUGGUGGAUCACCUGAGGUCAAGAGUUGGAGACCAGCCUGGCCGACACGGUGAAACCCCGUCUCUACUAAAAAUACAAAAAUUAGCUGGGCGUGAUGGUACGUGCGUAUAGUCCCAGCUACUUGGGAGGCUGAGGCAGGAGAAUCACUUGAACCUGGGAGGUGGAGGUUGCAGCAAGCCAAGAUCACGCCACUGCACCCCAGCCUGGGCAACUGAGUGAGACUCCAUCUAAAAAACAAACAAAACGCAAUGAGAAGAGAGGAUUUUGAAUGUUCCCGACACAAAGAAAUGAUAAACGCUUGAGGUAAUGGAUAUCCUAAUUACCCAGAUUUGAUUAUUACACGUUGUAUACAUGUAUUGAAAUAUCAUUUUGUAACCCAUGAACAUGUACAAUUAUGUGUCAACUAAAAAUAAAAGGAAUAAAACACAAUGAGAUACCACCUUACGCCCAUUAGGCUGGCUGCUGCGUUGGGAAGGAUGUGUAGAAACUGGAAUGCUUGUGUAGCUACUGUGGGAAAUGGUAUGGCUGUUCCUCAAAAAAUUAAAAAUAGAAUUACCAAAUGACCCAGCAAUUUUAUUUCUGGGUGUGUAUCCAAACGAAUUGAAAGCAAGAUCUUGAAGAGAUAUUUGUACACUCACGUUCAUAGCAGCCUUCUUCACAAUAGCCAAAAGGUGGAAGCAAUUAGCUGGGUGUGGUGGCGGGUGCCUGUAAUCCCUGCUACUU